ACCCGGGUAUUAUCGAAAAUCAUAGAAAUUGCAUGGUAUAGAGAGUUUGGUAAUAUUCCAUACCUCUCUCUAUACGAUAUCGCUGGAAUUCCGAAGUGUUUACCUUCUCCUCUUCACUGGCCCGAAGUGUUUACCUUCUCCUCUUCACUGGCCCGAAGUGUUGACCUUCUCUUCUUCACUGGCCCAUAAGAAUACGAAUAUCACUCCACUCCCUAUAGCAUAGCAUUUAAUAGAUUCUUCAGAUAGCUUAGAUUCAUAUAUAUAGCUUGUUCUCUCUAUCUCGCAUUCACCUUAACCAAUUAACAGCUCUGCUCCUUCUGAUGCUACAUCUCCUGCGGAUUCCACUUCUUGUCCCGAGGAAGGAUUCGAGGAAGGAUUAAUGAAACUAGGCUAACGCUCUAUUAGCUCGCUACCGCUCUAUUAGCUCGGGAUAUAGAUAUUGGAAGUAAGCUGGAUAGACAUCGGAACAAGGAGAUAGAGAUGCCUUGCCCCAACAUCUAAAUAAAGGUGAACAUGAAAGAGAUUGCUUAGCUGGUUCAGUAGUGGGAGUAAUUGUAUCUCUUCGAUUGGAAUUCCCGGUUGCUAGCUCAGGUCUUGUUAGCGCUUGUUCCAUCUCUACUGAUAGUAGUUAAAGUGAAGUGAUGGUUGGAGAAUUCUAUAAGGUAGUCUUGGGCUUAAAACGGGAGUAGCAGGCUCAUAGGCAAGGCAAUAAAGUAAGAUUCCGGUUCCUUAGUGUAAGUACUAGUUUUGAGUUAAAGUAAUUAGGCACUGUUCGAUUCUCUAGUGCACAGGAAUUGAGUGACUACUAAAAAGAAGCGAGCUACUUACAAAUAGGCUUGCUAUGCUCACUUUUCUUCUUCAAUUACUAACUAUCGGGCAUAACCCACGGAGUAGUAAAUACAGAAGAUAACUCAUAUCUGUAUAAGACUCAUUUUGGUAGUGGUAUGGGGCUGGAAAGUGGCGAUAAAGAACUAAACCUCUAUAGUAGUUGUAGCUUGGCCGUUACUUGGCGAAAACGGAAACCAUAAAUCCUGUCUCUUAUUCUGGCACUCCCUACUGGCAUUCCUUAGCCCACUGUUGAAAACUUAUACUACUUAUUUGAAUUCUGAUAUGAAAGUGGAAGCCUUCUACUUACUUAUUUCAUUCUUGCUUGUUUGCGGAGUUUAUUAUACUCCUUCCGCUACUUCUGAUGUUUGAUUGUCAGCCUUAUUGUUAGCUAGCUUCAAACUUCCCCUCGUUAGCUUCAUCUGUUAGUUCGAGUUAGAGGCUUAUUAGUUAUUCAACAUGGCAAGCCUUAUUGCCCUGACUUAUAGUCUGACCCAGGCCUCUCAGAGGUUAGUCUGGCACCCGGAAAUUGAAGCCUUACUUGUUUGUUUAAUACUUAUUGCCUCCUGGUUAAAGCUUCGGCUCCUCGCUGAUAACUAAAGCUUUUCAGAAUGUACCUAGCGGCAUUAAGGCUUUGACUCAUAAUAUAGAGAAUGAAUACGGAUUUCCGAAUAGCGUAUUUAAUGGAUAGAAUACAGAGUAGCGCCAGUAAGAGCAUUAGAUUCAAAUGAAAAAUCAUUGAACUCGAAACAGAGGAUCAAACUGCAGCUUCUAAGACAGCAACUAAGAACUCGGGUUUCCACUGGUGCUUCUAAUACUUGAAUCAAUGCCAACAAGACCUACCCUUAUAACAAGGAUUUAUACCACUGAUCCCAC
rnacentral:lncRNA from 1 species